rnacentral:rRNA from 1 species
GAUGAACGCUGGCGGCGUGCCUAAUACAUGCAAGUCGAGCGAACGGACGAGAAGCUUGCUUUUCUGAUGUUAGCGGCGGACGGGUGAGUAACACGUGGAUAACCUACCUAUAAGACUGGGAUAACUUCGGGAAACCGGUGCUAAUACCGGAUAAUAUUUUGAACCGCAUGGUUCAAAAGUGAAAGACGGUCUUGCUGUCACUUAUAGAUGGAUCCGCGCUGCAUUAGCUAGUUGGUAAGGUAACGGCGUACCAAGGCAACGAUGCAUAGCCGACCUGAGAGGGUGAUAGGCCACACUGGAACUGAGACGCGGUCCAGACUCCUACGGGAGGCAGCAGUAGGGAAUCUUCCGCAAUGGGCGAAAGCCUGACGGAGCAACGCCGCGUGAGUGAUGAAGGUCUUCGGAUUGUAAAACUCUGUUAUUAGGGAAGAACAUAUGUGUAAGUAACUGUGCACAUCUUGACGGUACCUAAUCAGAAAGCCACGGCUAACUACGUG